AUUGAACGCUGGCGGCAGGCCUAACACAUGCAAGUCGAGCGGCAGCGCGGGGCAACCUGGCGGCGAGCGGCGAACGGGUGAGUAAUACAUGGGAAUCUGCCUGGUAGUGGGGGGAUAACUCUGGGAAACUAGAGGUAAUACCGCAUACGUCCUACGGGAGAAAGCGGGGGAUCUUCGGACCUCGCGCUAUCAGAGGAGCCCAUGUCCGAUUAGCUAGUUGGUGAGGUAAAGGCUCACCAAGGCGACGAUCGGUAACUGGUCUGAGAGGAUGGUCAGUCACACUGGGACUGAGACACGGCCCAGACUCCUACGGGAGGCAGCAGUGGGGAAUAUUGGACAAUGGGCGAAAGCCUGAUCCAGCAAUGCCGCGUGGGUGAAGACGGCCUGCGGGUUGUAAAGCCCUUUAGGUGGGGAGGAAAGGCGGGACGUGAACAGCGUUUCGCACUGACGUUACCCACGGAAUAAGCACCGGCUAACUCCGUGCCAGCAGCCGCGGUAA
rnacentral:rRNA from 1 species